AUGGGCCAUGACAAUGUGGCAGGCGAGCCAUCAACCCGUGGUGCCCCUGUAGUGGUGUCUUUGCAAUCAGAGAGCCAUACUCUAGAUGACACGGGAACCGAGGCAAAUGUUCCUGGUCCAACCAGGACUGAGCUAGGAGCUGGGGCUGUUGACGGAGUUGUGCAAGAAGAAGAAGGAGAGGAUGAGGCUGGUUCUCAACCUAUGGAACCCUAUGUUGGCAUGAGGUUUGACAGCCUUCAAAUUGCUAAGGAUCACUACAACAGCUACGCACUACGGAUGGGUUUCUCUAUCAAGAUGAACACAUCUAGAUGGACACCCCGCACCAAUGAAUUGAUAAAACAACAGUUUUGCUGCAACAAGUUCAAGAAGCCCAAAGCUGAUGAUGGAGGAGCUGAGGCUCCUCCUGUCCUGGACCCUAUUCCAGAUCCAAAAUCUGUUGAUAAUGAUGAGGAGAUGGAAGAAGAACCUCCAAUAUUUGCUGAAGAGGAGGCUGGUACUAGUAAGAAGAAGAAGAAGAAGCACAAACGCGAGACAAUAAAGCAGACUCCGUGCAAAGCGAAAAUGUUGGUGAAGCUGAUAGAUGGGCGAUGGGAGGUGACGCACUUUGUUCGUGAACACAAUCAUCCGCUCGUGAACAAACCUUCAUUAUCCAAAUACUUGAGACCCCACCAAGGCAUCUCACCUGAUGAAAAGGAGUUUCUGCGCAUCUCGUAUAACUGCAACUUGACUACAGGCGAUUACAAUCCAAGUACCAUGACGGGCCGUGCUACUACAGGUGAUCGUGAUGGUCCUACUACCCCGUUGGAGGUUGCGUCCCCUGCACAAGCUUCUGAUGAUUUUGUGCCCAGGGAUCCUCCAAGGUCUACUACAAAGGGUAGGGCAAAAAGUCGACGGUACAAAUCGGCGUGGGAGCUACACCCAAAGAAGAAAAACAAAUGCAGCCAGUGCCAAUCUACAGAGCACACUGCUGGUGUGUGUCCACUCAGGCUACUGUGA
rnacentral:rRNA from 1 species